GCAGUGGUGGUUCAGUGGUAGAAUUCCACCUUCCAUGCAGGAGACCCGUGUUCAAUUCCUGGCCAGUGCA
rnacentral:tRNA from 1 species